GGUCCGAUGGUGUAGUUGGUUAUCACUUCUGUCUAACAUCUGCGUGCGUUACGUAAUGUGCACAGGCGGUCCUCAGUUCGAACCUGGGUCGGAUCA